rnacentral:rRNA from 1 species
AAUCAACGCUGGCGGCGUGCCUCAGACAUGCAAGUCGAACGAUUAAAGCUCUCUUCGGAGAGUGUAUAGAGUGGCGCACGGGUGAGUAACACGUAAGUAAUCUACCCUCGAGUGGGGAAUAACAACCGGAAACGGUUGCUAAUACCGCAUAAUGCAGCGGCACCGCAAGGUGACAGUUGUUAAAGAUUUAUCGCUUGAGGAGGAGCUUGCGGCAGAUUAGCUAGUUGGUAGGGUAACGGCUUACCAAGGCUACGAUCUGUAACCGGUCUAAGAGGACGGUCGGUCACACUGACACUGAAUAACGGGUCAGACUCCUACGGGAGGCAGCAGUCGGGAAUUUUGGGCAAUGGGCGAAAGCCUGACCCAGCAACGCCGCGUGAAGGAUGAAGUAUUUCGGUAUGUAAACUUCGAAAGAAUAGGAAGAAUUAAUGACGGUACUAUUUAUAAGGUCCGGCUAAACUACGUGCCAGCAGCCGCGGUAAU